rnacentral:rRNA from 1 species
CAGUAGCCGCGGUAAUACGUAGGGCGCAAGCGUUAUCCGGAAUUAUUGGGCGUAAAGAGCUCGUAGGCGGUUUGUCGCGUCUGCCGUGAAAGUCCGGGGCUCAACCCCGGAUCUGCGGUGGGUACGGGCAGACUAGAGUGAUGUAGGGGAGACUGGAAUUCCUGGUGUAGCGGUGAAAUGCGCAGAUAUCAGGAGGAACACCGAUGGCGAAGGCAGGUCUCUGGGCAUUAACUGACGCUGAGGAGCGAAAGCAUGGGGAGCGAACAGGAUUAGAGACCCCUGUAGUCCCUGUCUCUUAUAC